AUGGGCAAGUCAAUGACCGGAGAAGAUGAGAAGAAGAAGCAGAGUUUUACUGGUGAAGAGAAGAAGGCAGCUUGCAACACAUGGACCGCCGGCGCCGGGAGGGUGCAUCCAUGUGCAUCAUCAAUGGCGGCUGCGGCCCAAAGGGUGGUCACCGGUGAAGCUGGCGGCCAAGGAACAUCCUUUCAUACAUAG
rnacentral:rRNA from 1 species